CUUCGACAGUGGAUGAACACCGGUUCAUAGGAUAUUUGCCGCAAAGGCUACUAAGACAAACAUAAUCAAAUAAUCUGAAUGCGAAUUCUGCUUGACCAAGUCACAGUUAAAAUUCAAAAUUGAGGAAGAAUGAAUGUGAAUGAAGCCCUCUGCAUUAGAAGAAGACUCAAGAUCUAACGUCUGCAAAUGCAGCUUCACUACUUCCGUACUUGGGUACUCUGUUUGUUAAUUUCUUUGACUAUUUCAAUUGUUGGCUUCGUGUGUAAUUAUUGUAUACUUUGAUUUUGGUAAUUCGUCGUAUAUCAGAAUUGGGAUCAUUUGCA